rfam:Anaeroglobus geminatus F0357 genomic scaffold Scfld19, whole genome shotgun sequence.
CGUUCAUCCAGAGCAGCCGAGGGACUGGCCCUACGACGCUGCGGCAACCCCCGUAAUCGGGAAGGUGCCAAAUCCAGCGGGUUUUCCGACAGAUGAAGC